rnacentral:lncRNA from 1 species
CUGGGACAGUGGCGGACCUGGAGAGGGGAUGGAAUCUUAGGGGGGCCUUACCCCAUACCCUGCCUUGUACAGCUCUUCCAUCUGGCUGUUCCUGAGUUCUAUCCUUUUGGAAUAAACCAAUGACCUAUUUCCCUCUCUCCAGUCCUCCAGUCUCAUUCCCUGGGAUUACUUCCCAAGAGAAAUGCCGGCUCUGCCCAUGAGCUCUUGUCUAAGACUCCUUCUGGGGAAAUCCAAGGUAAGAUACAGUUACUUUGGGAUGCGACCAUUCUGAUUAAUUUGGAAUUUUUAUUUGUGCUUAUUAAUGUCCUUGAUUUUUUGCAUCAGAUAUGUGUCUUACAUAAUUUAAAGGAAAGUAGGUGUUAUUUAAAAUUGUGGGUUAUUUCUAUAUGUCAUUAUAGGGUCCCUGGUGAACUGGAAAACAUUAUGCAAUUUAGGAAGAUUUAGCUGCUUCGUAGGCUCCCAUUUGUCAUCUGCCCUUCUGAAAUGCAGAUAUAAGACUGAUCUAGAGAAAGGGGAAAGAGAAAAGCAUGUGACCAGGAAAGCAAAAAUGAGUGGAAAAAAUAAAUUUUCUUUAUUUUUCUUGUUGGCUUCUUACCUUUUCUGUAAUCCUACCAAUGGUCACAGAUAGGCAUUCAUUAAAGGAUAUUAAAAAUAAUAAUUAAAGAUGAGAAAACUAUGGUUCACAAAGUUGAAUGAUGAGAAAAAUAGUGUUGGCAUAUAGUUCAUAUUUAGAGAGAUAAUCAGUAGAAAUAAGUGAAUUUCCAAAACUUGUCAGUUGACCAACUAGCAAAAGCAUCAUUAUUUUCAGGAAAUAGUUCAUUCUGAGAAAACUCUGCAAGAAAAAAAAAAUCUUACAGUUAAAAGAGAAUUUAGUUAAGCCUUGAGAUGCAAAAGAAAAGUAUAAAAAUG